rnacentral:rRNA from 1 species
UAAGGAAUAUUGGACAAUGGGCGCGAGCCUGAUCCAGCCAUGCCGCGUGCAGGAAGAAGGACCUAUGGUUUGUAAACUGCUUUUGAAUGGGAGAAAACCCCUCUACGUGUAGAGGGCUGAUAGUACCAUUAGAAUAAGCAUCGGCUAACUUCGUGCCAGCAGCCGCGGUAAGACGAAGGAUGCAAGCGUUAUCCGGAUUCAUUGGGUUUAAAGGGAGCGUAGGCGGAUAGAUAAGUCAGUGGUGAAAUCUCUGGGCUUAACCCAGAAACUGCCAUUGAUACUGUUUAUCUAGAGUACAGUUGCCGUUGGCGGAAUAUGACAUGUAGUGGUGAAAUACUUAGAUAUGUCAUAGAACACCGAUUGCGAAGGCAGCUAACGAAACUGUAACUGACGCUGAGGCUCGAAAGUGCGGGGAUCAAACAG